rnacentral:rRNA from 1 species
GUGGUCAAGCUAAUAAGGGCUCAUGGUGGAUACCUAGGCACACAGAGGCGAAGAAGGACGUGGUUACCUGCGAAAAGUUCCGGGGAGUUGGAAGCAAACAGAGAGCCGGAAAUAUCCGAAUGGGGCAACCCUGAAAACUGCCUGUUGAAUAUAUAGACAGGAAAGAGCGAACCUGGCGAAUUGAAACAUCUUAGUAGCCAGAGGAAAAGAAAUCAAAAGAGAUUCCCCGAGUAGCGGUGAGCGAAAGGGGAAGAGCCUAAACCAAGGGGUAUACCUCUUGGGGUAGUGGGACAGCAACAUCGAAUCCAGAGACUAGACGAAGCAGCUAAAUACUGCACCAGAGGGGGUGAAAGUCCUGUAGUCGAAAGUCAAAGGAUAGAAGCUGAAUCCCGAGUAGUACGGGGCACGAGAAAUCCCGUAUGAAUCAGCGAGGACCAUCUCGUAAGGCUAAAUACUACUGUGUGACCGAUAGAGAACAAGUACCGCGAGGGAAAGGUGAAAAGAACCCCGGGAGGGGAGUGAAAAAGAACAUGAAACCGUGAGCUUACAAGCAGUGGGAGUCCGAUUAAACGGAUGACCGCGUGCCUGUUGAAGAAUGAGCCGGCGACUUAUAGGUACUGGUAGGUUAAAGCGGGAAUGCUGGAGCCAAAGGGAAACCGAGUCUGAAAAGGGCGCUAAUCAGUAUUUAUAGACCCGAACCCUGGUGAUCUAACCAUGGCCAGGAUGAAGCUUGGGUAAAACCAAGUGGAGGUCCGAACCGACCGAUGUUGAAAAAUCGGCGGAUGAGCGGUGGUUAGGGGUGAAAUGCCAAUCGAACCAGGAGCUAGCUGGUUCUCCCCGAAAUG